UACGUAGGGCGCAAGCGUUGUCCGGAAUUAUUGGGCGUAAAGAGCUCGUAGGCGGUUUGUCGCGUCUGCUGUGAAAACCUAAGGCUCAACCUUGGGCUUGCAGUGGGUACGGGCAGACUAGAGUGCGGUAGGGGUGACUGGAAUUCCUGGUGUAGCGGUGAAAUGCGUAGAUAUCUGGAGGAACACCGGUGGCGAAGGCGGCGUUCUGGACUGCAACUGACACUGAGGAACGAAAGCCAGGGGAGCAAACGGG
rnacentral:rRNA from 1 species